rnacentral:siRNA from 1 species
UGGGCGGGUUUAUUUUGGGUU